AUUUAUGUAGUUUAACAAAAACACUACAUUUUCACUGUAGAAAUAAAGGAACUUUCAUAAAUA
rnacentral:tRNA from 1 species